rnacentral:rRNA from 1 species
CUACGGGGUGCUGCAGUGAGGAAUUUUGCGCAAUGGGGGAAACCCUGACGCAGCAACGCCGCGUGAGUGAUGAAGGCUUUCGGGUCGUAAAGCUCUGUCAAGUGGGAAGAACCUGCAGUAUGCUAAUAUCAUAUUGCACUGACGGUACCACUGAAGGAAGCACCGGCUAACUCCGUGCCAGCAGCCGCGGUAAUACGGGGGGUGCAAGCGUUAUUCGGAAUCAUUGGGCGUAAAGAGCACGUAGGCGGCCUGGUAAGUCAGAUGUGAAAGCCCUGGGCUUAACCCGGGAAGUGCAUUUGAUACUGUCAGGCUUGAGUGUGGGAGAGGGAGGUGGAGUUCCUGGUGUAGAGGUGAAAUUCGUAGAUAUCAGGAGGAACACCGGUGGCGAAGGCGACUUCCUGGACCAAUACUGACGCUGAGGUGCGAAGGCGUGGGUAGCAAACAGGAUUAGAUACCCGAGUAGUC